AUUGAACGCUGGCGGCAGGCCUAACACAUGCAAGUCGAACGAGUGGCGGACGGGUGAGUAAUGUCUGGGAAACUGCCUGAUGGAGGGGGAUAACUACUGGAAACGGUAGCUAAUACCGCAUACUAUCAGAUGUGCCCAGAUGGGAUUAGCUAGUGGGUGGGGUAACGGCUCACCAAGGCGACGAUGCCUAGCUGGUCUGAGAGGAUGACCGGCCACACUGGAACUGAGACACGGGCCAGACUCCUACGGUGGGCAGCAGUGGGGAAUAUUGCACAAUGGGCGCAAGCCUGAUGCAGCCAUGCCGCGUGUAUGAAGAAGGCCUUCGGGUUGUAAAGUACUUUCAGCGGGGAGGCGUUACCCGCAGAAGAAGCACCGGCUAACUCCGUGCCAGCCGCCGCGGUAAUUC
rnacentral:rRNA from 1 species